ACCCGCGUACAUGCCACCGGGGCAUCCCGGAGGCAGGAAAGGCUUCGGCCGGACAGGGAUGGGCAUGCGGCGCAUUAGGCAGUAGGCGGGGUAACGGCCCACCUAACCGACGAUGCGUAGGGGUUCUGAGAGGAAGGUCCCCCACACUGGUACUGAGACACGGACCAGACUCCUACGGGAGGCAGCAGUGAGGAAUAUUGGUCAAUGGUCGGGAGACUGAACCAGCCAAGCCGCGUGAGGGAGGAAGGUACAGAGUAUCGUAAACCUCUUUUGUCAGGGAACAAAGACUGGGACGCGUCCCCGGAUGAGUGUACCUGAAGAAAAAGCAUCGGCUAACUCCGUGCCAGCAGCCGCGGUAAUACGGAGGAUGCGAGCGUUAUCCGGAUUUAUUGGGUUUAAAGGGUGCGCAGGCGGUCUGUUAAGUCAGCGGUCAAAGCCCGGGGCUCAACCCCGGCCCGCCGUUGAAACUGGCAGUCUCGAGUUGGAGAGAAGUAUGCGGAAUGCGCGGUGUAGCGGUGGAAUGCAUAGAUAUCGCGCAGAACUCCGAUUGCGAAGGCAGCAUGCCGGCUCCACACUGACGCUGAGGCACGAAAGCGUGGGUAUCGAACAGGAUUAGAUACCCUGGUAGUCCACGCAGUAAACGAU
rnacentral:rRNA from 1 species